rnacentral:sRNA from 1 species
UCUUACCCAUGUCUUUUGAGUACCUUCGUUUCCUCGGCGGGUCCGCCCGCCGGUUGGACAACAUUCAAACCCUUUGCAGUUGCAAUCAGCGUCUGAAAAAACUUAAUAGUUACAACUUUCAACAACGGAUCUCUUGGUUCUGGCAUCGAUGAAGAACGCAGCGAAAUGCGAUAAGUAGUGUGAAUUGCAGAAUUCAGUGAAUCAUCGAAUCUUUGAACGCACAUUGCGCCCCUUGGUAUUCCAUGGGGCAUGCCUGUUCGAGCGUCAUUUGUACCUUCAAGCUCUGCUUGGUGUUGGGUGUUUUGUCUCGCCUCCGCGCGCAGACUCGCCUUAAAACAAUUGGCAGCCGGCGUAUUGAUUUCGGAGCGCAGUACAUCUCGCGCUUUGCACUCAUAACGACGACGUCCAAAAGUACAUUUUUACACUCCGGCGAGUGAAGCGGCAAGAGCUCAAAUUUGAAAGCUGACUCCUUCGGGGUCCGCAUUGUAAUUUGCAGAGGAUGCUUCGGGAGCGGUCCCCAUCUAAGUGCCCUGGAACGGGACGUCAUAGAGGGUGAGAAUCCCGUAUGGGAUGGGGUGUCCGCGCCCGUGUGAAGCUCCUUCGACGAGUCGAGUUGUUUGGGAAUGCAGCUCUAAAUGGGUGGUAAAUUUCAUCUAAAGCUAAAUAUUGGCCGGAGACCGAUAGCGCACAAGUAGAGUGAUCGAAAGAUGAAAAGCACUUUGAAAAGAGAGUUAAAAAGCACGUGAAAUUGUUGAAAGGGAAGCGCUUGCGACCAGACUCGCUCGCGGGGUUCAGCCGGCAUUCGUGCCGGUGUACUUCCCCGCGAGCGGGCCAGCGUCGGUUUGGGCGGUCGGUCAAAGGCCCUCGGAAGGUAACGCCCCUAGGGGCGUCUUAUAGCCGAGGGUGCAAUGCGACCUGCCUAGACCGAGGAACGCGCUUCGGCUCGGACGCUGGCAUAAUGGUCGUAAGCGACCCGUCUUGAAACACGGACCAAGGAGUCUAACAUCUACGCGAGUGUUCGGGUGUCAAACCCGUGCGCGCAGUGAAAGCGAACGGAGGUGGGAACCCUUUGGGUGCACCAUCGACCGAUCCUGAUGUCUUCGGAUGGAUUUGAGUAAGAGCGUA